rnacentral:rRNA from 1 species
GUGUCAGCAGCCGCGGUAAUACGUAGGGGGCAAGCGUUGUUCGGAAUUACUGGGCGUAAAGGGCGCGUAGGCGGCACGGCAAGUCGGGAGUGAAAGGCCUGGGCUCAACCGAGGAACUGCUUUCGAGACUGCCGAGCUAGAGUGCGGAAGGGGCAACUGGAAUUCCCAGUGUAGCGGUGAAAUGCGUAGAUAUUGGGAAGAACACCUGAGGCGAAGGCGGGUUGCUGGGCCGACACUGACGCUGAGGCGCGAAAGCCAGGGGAGCAAACGGGAUUAGAUACCCUAGUAGUCC